rnacentral:lncRNA from 1 species
GAGAUUGUUAGUAAAAAAUGGAAGUAGGUAGCCACCUACCACCUCCACCAUUUGCCACCUACCACCAUUUGCCACCUACCACCUCCACCAUUUGCCUAUAAAUAAACAUCUUCUGCAGCAUCCCAAACACAACAACACAACACCAAAAUCACAACCAUAGCUAUCUAGAGAGAGAUAGAAAUAGAGAGAGAAAAAAUCUUGUGAGAUAAAACUUCAGUGUGGAAGUUAUACACGAGUGAUAAAAGAGAGUUGAGAGAUAGCCUCUGCGUAGGCAGAUACAAAAUACAGUGUGAUAUUUUGUUGUACUCCUCCUUUUGAGAUUCUCUAAUAUAUUGGUGUGGGUCCGUGGACGUAGGCAGUUUGGCCGAACCACGUUAAAAAUAUCGGUGUCAUUUUUUUUUCUCGUUUCAUAUCGGUCGAUAUCCAAAAUUUUGCGUCACACUAGAUCCAGGGCGGAAUUAGUUGCGUCUAAUUUCCUAACAGAGAAGCAGGGACAGCUUGUGGCAAUCACCGACUUCUUCGGAAUGGGCGCAGCAGCAGCAGGAACCGGCUUUAAGCACAGAGGGAUGGAGUGGGGUUGUACUCGGUGAGGGAGUUUCUUUGCUUGAUCACAUUCGAGCGUGGAGAGAAGCGGCGGCGGGAGUUGGAGGCAAUCUUUAAUGGCUCCUCAAUCAAAUUAUGCAGAUAGAUGACAACAGCAACAACAUAAUUAUGGUCAACCAUCUGUUUCUCCAUAUUCUCAAAGUUAUACUGUGCGACAUUCGUCUUCUGUGGGAUAGCAACACUCGUCAAGAUUAUGCUGUGACUUUCUUCUUCUUCUUCUUCUUUAUNUUUUUUUUGUAGGAAUUGGUGAUUAUGCACGCAUCCAUUGAAAAGCUGUGGAGUUUUUUUUUUUUCAUGUAGAAGUUUUAUGUUGCCCCAACUUCAACUAUUGAUCGAGCGCAUUCAACCAAGGAAUUUUACUUAUAAAAAUUGAUGGAGUGCAUUCAACCGAAGAAUUUUGCUUGAUGAGGAGUAAUAUAUGCGGAACAGAGGAAUGACUUUACCAGGGGAAUCACGGGGAGCAGUGAGACGGCUUUCAUCAGAGGAAUCACACUCAGCAGAUGAAUCACACUCACCAGAGGAAUGGUCUUCACCAGAGGAAUCACCAGAAACGCGGGGAAAUCUCCCGCGUGAAGCGAUUUUACUAUUAUGCCCCUGACCACGCAAGACGCAUGCUCCAGUGCUGAAUUUACCAUUUUACCCUUUACGUGUACUCUAUAAAUAGUGGCAUACGUGCUCCUUGUAAUUUACGCUAUCUUUUAUUAUCAAGCAGCAAUUUUACUCUCGUGCUCAAAAACCCCGAUUACUCUCUUUCGUCUUCUCCGAUCUAAACUAGGUACAGUUCACGAUUUCCUAACAAUUCUCCGAUAAAAUCCAUCUCCAUUUAACCAUGCUUCACCA